CGUGUAGGCGGUUUGGUAAGUGGGACGUGAAAUCCCUCGGCUCACCCGAGGACUUGCGUCCCAUACUGCCAGGCUAGAGUACGGGAGAGGAUGAAGGAAUUCCUGGUGUAGCGGUGAAAUGCGUAGAUAUCAGGAGGAACACCGGUGGCGAAGGCGUUCAUCUGGCCCGAUACUGACGCUGAGGCGCGAAAGCUAGGGAGCAAACG
rnacentral:rRNA from 1 species